GCGGAGGAAAAGAAACCAACAGGGAUUGCCCCAGUAACGGCGAGUGAAGCGGCAACAGCUCAAAUUUGAAAUCUGGUCCCCCCGCGGGGCCCGAGUUGUAAUUUGAAGAGGAUGCUUCUGGCAAGGUGCCGUCCGAGUUCCCUGGAACGGGACGCCGCAGAGGGUGAGAGCCCCGUACGGUCGGACGCCGAGCCUCUGUGAAGCUCCUUCGACGAGUCGAGUAGUUUGGGAAUGCUGCUCAAAAUGGGAGGUAAACCCCUUCUAAAGCUAAAUACCGGCCAGAGACCGAUAGCGCACAAGUAGAGUGAUCGAAAGAUGAAAAGCACUUUGAAAAGAGAGUUAAAAAGCACGUGAAAUUGUUGAAAGGGAAGCGCUUGCGACCAGACUCGCGCCCGUCGGAUCAGCCGUCGCUCGUCGGCGGCGCACUCCGGCGGGCUCGGGCCAGCAUCAGUUCGCCUCGGGGGGAGAAAGGCGGCGGGAAUGUGGCUCUACGGAGUGUUAUAGCCCGCCGCGUAAUACCCCCGGGCG
rnacentral:rRNA from 1 species